AGAAGCGUGUUCUGUUGGUCCCAAUCCCCUAGGAAUAUGAGAGUAAGAGGAUUGUUGCAUUCCACUCCCAAAGUCACUGUUCAUGUGGGAAGAAUGUUGCAUUCCACUCGCAUAGCCACCAUUCAUGUGGGAGCUAGAAUGCUGCAUUCCAGUCCCAUAGGCACCAUUCAUGUGGGAACUAGAAUGAUGCAUUCCACUCGCAUAGCCACCAUUCAUGCGGGAGCUAGAGUGCUGCAUUCCGCUCCCAUAGCCACCAUCGAUGUGGGAACUAGAGUGCUGCAUUCCACUCCCAUAGUCACUAUUAUCGCUGGAAAAGUUUGAGGAAUCAUGGGACAUGUGCCCAUAUUGGCCAUG
rnacentral:lncRNA from 1 species